UAGCCUAGGAGAUACAUGAAUUAAGGAUUUCCUCUAAUCUAUUCUCCUAGAAUAACAAAAUAUGAUAUCACAUAUUUACAGCAACAGAUUGCAAUCAUAUCUGCCUACUCAAUUGUGGAGCAGAUUAGAAUCAAAUAUGCCUACUUAAUUGUGGAGCAGAUUAGAAUCAAAUCUGCCUAUCAUCCGUGGAGUAAAUUAUGAAUAAAUCUGUCAACUCAUUGGACACCCUUAUUUUGUAAUCUUAAAUAGAGAUGAAAAAUGGAACAAAACUAGAAGCCUAAAUAGAAGUGAUAUAGACCUCUUAGGGGAGAAUUAUGACCUCUUCGAGCUGUCUAAUCUUUCUGGCAUUCUUCAAAGCGGAUCCUAAAUGAUAUCGCAUACAUGGUUAUUGCGAAGAUGCUCAAGAGGAUUGUUGCCGUGAAUAAUGUCUUCCUCAUGUCGACUAGAAAAUGUGUGUUUUGGAUCCAAGUUACAUGCUCCUGCAAAUUUUUUCAGAGUUUUGUGCCACCAAAGUACUGUGGUAAGUUUCUUGGUGGCCAUUCUAUUAGCAGGGAAAAGGAGGUAUAGACCGGGAAAAUAAGAUAACGACCUAUUGAAGAACCUCUUGGUCUAUCAUCAGGCACCAAGUUGAUGAAAACUACUAGCUCCUCAAGAGUUGUGUCCACCAAUUAUCUGAAUGUCCUGAGGGUUCUAUCAUUCUGGAGCGUAGGAGUCCCAAUGCUUUGAAUGAGAGUAGAAUGAUACCCAUGACACACCCUUAUGAUCCUGCUCACGAUCCUUCCAGGAAG